rnacentral:tRNA from 1 species
AGGGUAAUAGCUCAGUGGUGGAGCAUGUGCUUAGUGUGCACGAGGUCCUGGGUUCAAUCCCCAGCACCUCCA